rnacentral:rRNA from 1 species
AUGGACGUGGCGGGGGCGCAGGCGCGCGCGCUGCCGCUCCUCCUCGGCCGGACGGCCGCCUUCCUCCGGUGCUCCGUCUCGUUCUCCUGCGGCGGCGCGCGGCGGAGCUGGGCGUCCUCCGCCACGGCGGAUUGGGAGGACGGCGGCCAAGACUACGAGCGGGUGGCCAUGGACACCCCCGGCGCGUACUGGCUCGUGGACUGGAGCACCGGGAAGAGCGUCAUCGUGUGGGGCGGCGUCGAUGACGGCGAGGAGCCCGGCGUGCCGUCCUCGACGGUCCUCUCCAGGGUCACCGCCGACCGCUCCGCCCCCAAAGGUGCAGCAAAUGGGGGGAAUAAUGCAGGUGUCGGGAGCUUCGGAAGACUGAAGGCCCAGAAAGUGCAGGCUUUAGCUAGGAGAUCAGCAGUCCGCACAAGCAUCGCACGGCGUAGUGAAUCUUCUUAUGCUGAUUCUGAUGAAGAUGGAAGCAAAUCUGGAAGAAGGAAGUUUGUCCCCGACCCAGCACGCCGCGCAAAACAAAAUGAUGACUCUAGGGAUGAGAGGAGCAGGGCCGUGCGUUCUCUGAAUUCUGUGCUGAGGCAAUACAAAGGCGACGAUGAUUCAGAUCUUUCUAAUGAGGAGGCUGCUUUUGGCCCCAAAGUUUGGGGUAAAGUUGCCGAUGCUACGUCUUAUAGAAGAGAGGAUCGGAAGCAGAAGGUCCCUUUGGACAGUGGGUUUUUCAGCCGCAGAUCUUUUAAGGAGAUUGGCUGCGGCGAUGAGAUUCUCGGUGCAUUGAGAACCUUCGGGUUUCCUCAACCAUCACACAUUCAGGCUAUGGCAUAUGGUCCUGUCUUGGAGGGGAGGAGUUGCAUUAUUGCUGAUCAGAGUGGGUCUGGCAAGACAUUGGCAUAUCUCUGCCCUAUAGUUCAAAAUUUAAGGAAGGAAGAAGCUAUUGGGAUCCACAAACCAUCUCCCAGGAACCCACGCGUCAUAAUAUUGACACCUACUGCUGAACUUUCUUCUCAGGUCCUUCAGAAUUGCCGUUCAAUAUCGAAAUCUGGGGUUCCCUUCAGGUCAAUGGUUGCGACCGGCUUUGUGCAGCUAAAUAACCUCAGAUGUGCCGUGUUCGAUGAAGUGGAUAUUUUAUUUAGUGAAGAAGGCUUUGAACAAGUGCUUCAUCAGUUGAUUACUGUCGCACCAGUGACCACACAAUAUCUUUUUGUCACUGCAACUCUUCCUCUUGAUAUAUAUAACAAGGUUGUUGAAACCUUUCCCGACUGUGAGGUGAUCAUGGGACCUAGUGUCCACCGGACAAGCGCGCGUCUUCAAGAGAUUGAGACAUGUAGAAAGGUUGAAAAUGUGCUGACACGGCUGGACAGGAAAGCGUCACAGAUCAAGGUUCUACCGUUCCAUGCUGCAUUGGACCAGGCGAAACGCAUCGCAAACAUGAAGGAGUUCCUGAAGAAACAGACUACCGACUCGAUGUUCCUCGUGUGCACAGACAGAGCUUCGCGAGGGAUCGACUUCACAAACGUGAACCACGUGGUGCUCUUCGACUACCCCUGUGACCCGAGCGAGUACGUGCGCAGGGUCGGCAGGACAGCCCGCGGCGCAUCGGGUGACGGCAAGGCUUUCGUGUUCGCGGUGGGGAAGCAGGUGUCCCUGGCCAGGAGGGUGAUGGAGAGGAACCUCAAGGGGCACCCGCUACACGACGUCCCGUGCUUCCAGUUCUAG